rnacentral:rRNA from 1 species
UACGUAGGGUGCGAGCGUUAAUCGGAAUUACUGGGCGUAAAGCGUGCGCAGGCGGUCGUUCAAGUCGCGUGUGAAAGCCCCCGGCUCAACUGGGGAGGGUCACGCGAUACUGAUCGACUCGAAGGCAGGAGAGGGUAGUGGAAUUCCCGGUGUAGUGGUGAAAUGCGUAGAUAUCGGGAGGAACACCAGUGGCGAAGGCGACUACCUGGCCUGUUCUUGACGCUGAGGCGCGAAAGCUAGGGGAGCAAACGGG